CCUACGGGUGGCAGCAGUGGGGAAUAUUGGGCAAUGGGCGCAAGCCUGACCCAGCAACGCCGCGUGAAGGAAGAAGGCUUUCGGGUUGUAAACUUCUUUUCUCAGGGACGAAGCAAGUGACGGUACCUGAGUAAUAAGCCACGGCUAACUACGUGCCAGCAGCCGCGGUAAUACGUAGGUGGCAAGCGUUAUCCGGAUUUACUGGGUGUAAAGGGCGUGUAGGCGGCAAUGCAAGCCAGGAGUGAAAGCCCUGGGCUCAACCCCGGGACUGCAUUUGGAACUGCAUGGCUGGAGUACAGGAGAGGCAGGCGGAAUUCCUAGUGUAGCGGUGAAAUGCGUAGAUAUUAGGAGGAACACCGGUGGCGAAGGCGGCCUGCUGGACUGUGACUGACGUUGAGGCGCGAAGGCGUGGGGAGCAAACAGGAUUAGAUACCCUAGUAGUC
rnacentral:rRNA from 1 species